UCUUUAUUUUAAAAAUUUUUAUUACUUAAGUAGUGUGAACAAAUAAAUUUAUAGAAAAUAGUAUUUAGAAUUAUUAGAAUGUUUGAAAUUUAAAAGGCUUGGCGGUGUUAUAUAUCCAUCCAGGGGAGUUUGUUUAUUAAUUUGAUAGUCCUCAAUUUAUACUUACUUUUUUUUGAAUAUAUGAUAUCAGUUUGUAUAUUGCUGUCAUCAGUUUAUUUUGUAAAAAUUUUAUAAGAAACUUAAUAACGGAUUGGUUAUUAUGUCAAGUCAAAAUGCAGCUAAUAGAGAAGGUUUAUAAAGUGAGCUACAAUUUAUAAUUUUUAAUCGGAUUAGAUUUAUGUAAUUUAUUUAUAAAGUUGGACUUGGUAGUAAUAUUAUUAAUUAGUAGGUUUUUAUGAAUAAGGUUUUAUAAUGCGU
rnacentral:rRNA from 1 species